GCUGGGAAUGGUGUUGCAUGCCUGUAAUCCUAGCAGCUCGGGAGGCUGAGACAGGAAGAUCACCGAGUUCAAAGCCAACCUCAAAAGUGAGGUGCUAAACAACUCAGUGAGACCCUGUCUCUA
rnacentral:sRNA from 1 species